rnacentral:rRNA from 1 species
UACCGGAGGCAGCAAUUGGGAAUAUUGCACAAUGGGGGCAAACCCUGUGCAGCAACGCCGCGUGAGUGAUGAAGGUUUUCGGAUCGUAAAGCUCUGUCUUUGGGGAAGAUAAUGACGGUACCCAAGGAGGAAGCCACG